CAACUUUCAGCAGUGGAUGUCUAGGCUCGCACAUCGAUGAAGAACGCUGCGAACUGCGAUACGUAAUGCGAAUUGCAGAAUUCAGUGAGUCAUCGAAAUUUUGAACGCAUAUUGCACUUCCGGGUUAUGCCUGGAAGUAUGUCUGUAUCAGUGUCCGUAAAUCAAACUUGCCUUUCUUUUUU
rnacentral:rRNA from 1 species